CAGCCGCCGCGGUAAUACGGAGGGUGCAAGCGUUAAUCGGAAUUACUGGGCGUAAAGCGCACGCAGGCGGUCUGACAAGUCAGAUGUGAAAUCCCCGGGCUUAACCUGGGAACUGCAUUUGAAACUGUCAGGCUGGAGUCUUGUAGAGGGGGGUAGAAUUCCAGGUGUAGCGGUGAAAUGCGUAGAGAUCUGGAGGAAUACCGGUGGCGAAGGCGGCCCCCUGGACAAAGACUGACGCUCAGGUGCGAAAGCGUGGGGAGCAAACAGGAUUAGAUACCCCGGUAGUCCCUGUCUCUUACAC
rnacentral:rRNA from 1 species